GUCCGGAGCUCGGCCGGAGGAGGGGGAGCUGCAGCGUCUCAGCGAUAGGGCGUCGCAUCUCGUCGCUUCUAACUAUGGGACGACAUUUAUUGUUAAGGAUAAAAAAGACGCGAGUAAUGUUGCUUACACAAGCGAGGGCCUUGAUCUGCACUGUGAUCUGGUGUGCCUUCAUUACAAGCCUUGUGUCCAGCUGUUGCACUGCAUCACCCAGUUUUCGGGCGACGGCGGCGACUCCAUCCUGGCAGACAGUCACCGUGUCGCU